UUACUCUUUGAUAUAAAAAAUGCACAAGGAAGGCUUUGGAAUUUUUGACCAAACUUGGCAGAAAGUUUGAAAUAGUUAGUGUUAGGUGGAAACUGAUUUAAAUUUCAUUCAAUAAUCUUGUAGCCGUGAAAAAUUUGACGUAGAUGAAGAAGUUGGAGGCCAAGACAGACAAAUGAGGUCCGAGAGACAUCAAGAGACUGAUUUUCAAGUACAAGUAACCUUUCGUACAGUUUACUGUUGAAUUAGAGCUUUUGGUUAGAUUACUUGAAAUUUUCGGGGUAGUUUGGAUCGAAGAAUUACUAGGCUGAAUUAGUUAAGGGUCAAAAUCCGACUAGGGGUUCCAAAUUUUGUGUUCCUCAUAAUUUGAGUCAAUACUUUGUUCACUUUUAUUUCUGUAAAAUUACUUAAAUUUUCUUUAAGAGCCUUUGUAGUUGUAGCGUACUCUGUGUUAUAUUUAUUUGAUUAUUUAACGCCCAGAAUACAACAAGAGGAUUUCACACCCAUAAUAGUAUUUUUAAAAUGAACUAUAAUGCAAGAAAAUAAUAAAAACAAUAUUUAUAUUGUUAAAUUAAAUACGUAUAUUAAUCGCAAAAGGAGAACAAUGAAACAAUGAAUAAAACCCAUUACAGAAAAAAAAAUAAUAAUGUUAGGCAGUUCACAAGUAUUUAGCUUCCUUCUUGAUUGCAUUUACACUAUCGUGAAAAAUAUCAAAAUCAGCAUAAAGGUUAUUUCAACAUUCUAUGAAGAGGAGAGUUUUUUUUAGAAUAGCAAAAUAUCUGUAAUCCAUAGCCAAGUGUUCAUUAAUAUUUGAUACGAAAAUCAUCAUUGCAUCUCUUAUUCCAGUUUUAAUUCUCGCAACCACAAGAAAAAAUUAAGAAGAAUAAUGAAAAUAUUGAAAAAUUUCCGAGACUACACAGGACCACAAAUUUUUAAUGAACUCCCGAAAACUAUUAGAUUAUGUAAAACUUAAAGAAAACUUAAGAAGUUACCUUGAAAAUUGUUAAUUCCAUAUUUAUUAUUUUAUUCGUUUUCCUUGUAUUGAUUAGUUAUUAUUGAGAAACUAUUAUCUGUGAUAACUUAUUGUUGAUUAUAAAGUUGAAGGAAAAGUCUAUAAAAUACUUCUCUUGACGGAACCUUGUAUUUUAAAGUGAGUAAGUUUCAAUGAGCAAUUAACCGAACUGUAGAAUUAUGUUCUCCACCUUUUUUCACCUUUUCUUUAAGUUUUUCGCUCAGCAAGAUAUAUUAUACUUAAUAGUAUAAACUUUUUCAGAAUCUUCGGUUUGAUAAUGGCAAAUAUGCCGAAACAUGUAACCAGAUGAUUUAAUGUACGAGGUUCCACCAACAGAAGUGUUUUAUAGACUUUUUCCUUCAACGUUAUAUACUCAACAUUUCAAAAUGGGAUUUUAUGAGAUUAUUGUUUAUUAGCAGUAUUAUCAAUAAAUAAAUAAAUAAAGAAACAUAAUGAAGAGCUUGAAAAAUUAAUACUCGAUGUUGAGUUGAGUCUUAGAACUGAUAAAAUUAUAUACAUAUUAUUAAAUUUUUGUCAAUAAUGGUCUUCAGUUGCUAAUCUCUGAACAGGUGGAUAUAACAUUUCGUCACAAUGUCUGAAAUUUUCGACUGAGAUUUUAUGUGUAUAUAGAGAAUGAACAUUUCAAGUUUCGAACAAAAUUUCGUAUGAAUAGCAUAAACAAAACCAUAGAAAAUUCAAGAAGAACAUUGAAAAAUAAAUUCCUUAUAUUUCAGUGACAACAGCGGAAUCAGAACCAUACAAAAUUGGAGCAGAAUAUAGAGAAGAAUUAGAAAAGCACUGGAGUGAAGUCCGCUCUAGUCCUCCCCCCCCCUACAAAUGAGCACUGAUUUUGAUUGAACAAUUUCCGAACGUUGUUGAACUGAGUAUCUUUCCAUGAUUAAAUGGCUGGAAACAAAUGAUAUGAGGAAUAUCUACAAAUAAUACACUAGUAAUCCACAAUGAUACAUCAGAACUUGUUAGGGAAUUCAAAUGAAAUACCUGCUGGGAUAUGUGCGAAUCCAGCAGCUUCAUCUAAACCUUCAUUUCCAUGUUCGAGAGUCGAGUCGCCAGAUUCUGACAGAAGAUUGAUCAUUGUCUCUAGAGAAUGUUCCACUUCUUCAUUCUCCUCUACCAUUUGAAUAACAUCUUCUAUUUGAUCAAUGG